GUGAAGUCCCAAGCACGUUAGAAAGCUCAGCCAUGGCCUGACUCCGGACAGCUCAGAGCAGGGCAUACAUGGAGACCUCUGAGACUGUCUGCCUGCCGCAUGGAUACUCUGAAGCCACUCUGUCCCUGGAGAAGCCAGGGGUAAGGAGAGAGGGACAGGGACGAAACUUGUGUGUCAGGAGGAACGUGGUGCCAGGAAACCCCAUUUACUGGAAACGCCAGGGCCCUCGGCCCCUCUCAGGGUCAGGAAAGGAGAAAACUAUGGAUAGAGAGAGGAAAGAUGAACUCAGUGAAGUACCAGCACGUACUAAGCACUCUUAUUUAAUCAAGACAAUCUUUUGAGAGCAUCUGAUGCUACUGGAAGAAGGAAGAGAGAGUUCGUCUUUACUGAGGACUCUAUGUAGCCAAUAGUAUACUAGAAACUACACACAUUAUCCC
rnacentral:lncRNA from 1 species